GGUUAAGCGACUAAGCGUACACGGUGGAUGCCCUGGCAGUCAGAGGCGAUGAAGGACGUGCUAAUCUGCGAAAAGCGUCGGUAAGGUGAUAUGAACCGUUAUAGCCGGCGAUGUCCGAAUGGGGAAACCCAGUGCAAUUCGUUGCACUAUCGUUAACUGAAUACAUAGGUUAACGAGGCGAACCGGGGGAACUGAAACAUCUAAGUACCCCGAGGAAAAGAAAUCAACCGAGAUUCCCCCAGUAGCGGCGAGCGAACGGGGAGCAGCCCAGAGUCUGAAUCAGCUUGUGUGUUAGUGGAACGGUCUGGAAAGUCCGACGGUACAGGGUGAUAGUCCCGUACACCAAAAUGCACAGGCUGUGAACUCGAAGAGUAGGGCGGGACACGUGGUAUCCUGUCUGAAUAUGGGGGGACCAUCCUCCAAGGCUAAAUACUCCUGACUGACCGAUAGUGAACCAGUACCGUGAGGGAAAGGCGAAAAGAACCCCGGCGAGGGGAGUGAAAAAGAACCUGAAACCGUGUACGUACAAGCAGUGGGAGCACCUUCGGGUGUGACUGCGUACCUUUUGUAUAAUGGGUCAGCGACUUAUAUUCUGUAGCAAGGUUAACCGUAUAGGGGAGCCGCAGGGAAACCGAGUCUUAACUGGGCGUUAAGUUGCAGGGUAUAGACCCGAAACCCGGUGAUCUAGCCAUGGGCAGGUUGAAGGUUGGGUAACACUAACUGGAGGACCGAACCGACUAAUGUUGAAAAAUUAGCGGAUGACUUGUGGCUGGGGGUGAAAGGCCAAUCAAACCGGGAGAUAGCUGGUUCUCCCCGAAAGCUAUUUAGGUAGCGCCUCGUGAACUCAUCUUCGGGGGUAGAGCACUGUUUCGGCUAGGGGGUCAUCCCGACUUACCAACCCGAUGCAAACUACGAAUACCGAAGAAUGUUAUCACGGGAGACACACGGCGGGUGCUAACGUCCGUCGUGAAGAGGGAAACAACCCAGACCGCCAGCUAAGGUCCCAAAGUCAUGGUUAAGUGGGAAACGAUGUGGGAAGGCACAGACAGCCAGGAUGUUGGCUUAGAAGCAGCCAUCAUUUAAAGAAAGCGUAAUAGCUCACUGGUCGAGUCGGCCUGCGCGGAAGAUGUAACGGGGCUAAACCAUGCACCGAAGCUGCGGCAGCGACACUAUGUGUUGUUGGGUAGGGGAGCGUUCUGUAAGCCUGCGAAGGUGUGCUGUGAGGCAUGCUGGAGGUAUCAGAAGUGCGAAUGCUGACAUAAGUAACGAUAAAGCGGGUGAAAAGCCCGCUCGCCGGAAGACCAAGGGUUCCUGUCCAACGUUAAUCGGGGCAGGGUGAGUCGACCCCUAAGGCGAGGCCGAAAGGCGUAGUCGAUGGGAAACAGGUUAAUAUUCCUGUACUUGGUGUUACUGCGAAGGGGGGACGGAGAAGGCUAUGUUAGCCGGGCGACGGUUGUCCCGGUUUAAGCAUGUAGGCUGGUUAUCCAGGCAAAUCCGGAUAAUCAAGGCUGAGGUGUGAUGACGAGGCACUACGGUGCUGAAGUAACAAAUGCCCUGCUUCCAGGAAAAGCCUCUAAGCAUCAGGUAACAUCAAAUCGUACCCCAAACCGACACAGGUGGUCAGGUAGAGAAUACCAAGGCGCUUGAGAGAACUCGGGUGAAGGAACUAGGCAAAAUGGUGCCGUAACUUCGGGAGAAGGCACGCUGGUGUGUAGGUGAAGUCCCUGCGGAUGGAGCUGAGACCAGUCGAAGAUACCAGCUGGCUGCAACUGUUUAUUAAAAACACAGCACUGUGCAAACACGAAAGUGGACGUAUACGGUGUGACGCCUGCCCGGUGCCGGAAGGUUAAUUGAUGGGGUUAUCCGUAAGGAGAAGCUCUUGAUCGAAGCCCCGGUAAACGGCGGCCGUAACUAUAACGGUCCUAAGGUAGCGAAAUUCCUUGUCGGGUAAGUUCCGACCUGCACGAAUGGCGUAAUGAUGGCCAGGCUGUCUCCACCCGAGACUCAGUGAAAUUGAACUCGCUGUGAAGAUGCAGUGUACCCGCGGCAAGACGGAAAGACCCCGUGAACCUUUACUAUAGCUUGACACUGAACAUUGAGCCUUGAUGUGUAGGAUAGGUGGGAGGCUUUGAAGCGUGGACGCCAGUCUGCGUGGAGCCAACCUUGAAAUACCACCCUUUAAUGUUUGAUGUUCUAACGUUGGCCCCUGACCGGGGUUGCGGACAGUGUCUGGUGGGUAGUUUGACUGGGGCGGUCUCCUCCCAAAGCGUAACGGAGGAGCACGAAGGUUAGCUAAUCCUGGUCGGACAUCAGGAGGUUAGUGCAAUGGCAUAAGCUAGCUUGACUGCGAGCGUGACGGCGCGAGCAGGUGCGAAAGCAGGUCAUAGUGAUCCGGUGGUUCUGAAUGGAAGGGCCAUCGCUCAACGGAUAAAAGGUACUCCGGGGAUAACAGGCUGAUACCGCCCAAGAGUUCAUAUCGACGGCGGUGUUUGGCACCUCGAUGUCGGCUCAUCACAUCCUGGGGCUGAAGUAGGUCCCAAGGGUAUGGCUGUUCGCCAUUUAAAGUGGUACGCGAGCUGGGUUUAGAACGUCGUGAGACAGUUCGGUCCCUAUCUGCCGUGGGCGCUGGAGAAUUGAGGGGGGCUGCUCCUAGUACGAGAGGACCGGAGUGGACGCAUCACUGGUGUUCGGGUUGUCAUGCCAAUGGCACUGCCCGGUAGCUAAAUGCGGAAGAGAUAAGUGCUGAAAGCAUCUAAGCACGAAACUUGCCCCGAGAUGAGUUCUCCCUGAGACUUUAAGUCUCCUGAAGGAACGUUGAAGACGACGACGUUGAUAGGCCGGGUGUGUAAGCGCAGCGAUGCGUUGAGCUAACCGGUACUAAUGAACCGUGAGGCUUAACCUU
rnacentral:rRNA from 1 species